AGGAAUCUGCCUAUUAGUGGGGGACAACAUCUCGAAAGGGAUGCUAAUACCGCAUACGUCCUACGGGAGAAAGCAGGGGAUCACUUGUGACCUUGCGCUAAUAGAUGAGCCUAAGUCGGAUUAGCUAGUUGGUGGGGUAAAGGCCUACCAAGGCGACGAUCUGUAGCGGGUCUGAGAGGAUGAUCCGCCACACUGGGACUGAGACACGGCCCAGACUCCUACGGGAGGCAGCAGUGGGGAAUAUUGGACAAUGGGGGGAACCCUGAUCCAGCCAUGCCGCGUGUGUGAAGAAGGCCUUAUGGUUGUAAAGCACUUUAAGCGAGGAGGAGGCUCUUUUGGUUAAUACCCAGAAUGAGUGGACGUUACUCGCAGAAUAAGCACCGGCUAACUCUGUGCCAGCAGCCGCGGUAAUACAGAGGGUGCAAGCGUUAAUCGGAUUUACUGGGCGUAAAGCGCGCGUAGGCGGCCAAUUAAGUCAAAUGUGAAAUCCCCGAGCUUAACUUGGGAAUUGCAUUCGAUACUGGUUGACUAGAGUGUGGGAGAGGAUGGUAGAAUUCCAGGU
rnacentral:rRNA from 1 species